rnacentral:rRNA from 1 species
UGCCAGCAGCCGCGGUAAUACAUAGGGGCCAAACGUUGUCCGGAUUUAUUGGGCGUAAAGGGCUCGUAGGCGGCUUGGAAAGUCAAUCGUGAAAGCCCCGGGCUCAACCUGGGAACUGCACCUGAUACUGCCAGUCUAGAAUACGGUAGAGGGUAGUGGAAUUUCCUGUGUAGCGGUGAAAUGCGUAGAUAUAGGAAGGAACACCAGUGGCGAAGGCGACUACCUGGACCGAUGUUGACACUGAGGUGCGAAAGCGUGGGGAGCAAACAGGAUUAGAUA